rnacentral:rRNA from 1 species
AUUGAACGCUGGCGGCAGGCCUAACACAUGCAAGUCGAGCGGAUGAAGGGAGCUUGCUCCUGGAUUCAGCGGCGGACGGGUGAGUAAUGCCUAGGAAUCUGCCUGGUAGUGGGGGAUAACGUCCGGAAACGGGCGCUAAUACCGCAUACGUCCUGAGGGAGAAAGUGGGGGAUCCUCGGACCUCACGCUAUCAGAUGAGCCUAGGUCGGAUUAGCUAGUCGGUGGGGUAAAGGCCUACCAAGGCGACGAUCCGUAACUGGUCUGAGAGGAUGAUCAGUCACACUGGAACUGAGACACGGUCCAGACUCCUACGGGAGGCAGCAGUGGGGAAUAUUGGACAAUGGGCGAAAGCCUGAUCCAGCCAUGCCGCGUGUGUGAAGAAGGUCUUCGGAUUGUAAAGCACUUUAAGUUGGGAGGAAGGGCAGUAAGUUAAUACCUUGCUGUUUUGACGUUACCAACAGAAUAAGCACCGGCUAACUUCGUG